AACGAACGCUGGCGGCAUGCCUAACACAUGCAAGUCGAACGAGACCUUCGGGUCUAGUGGCGCACGGGUGCGUAACGCGUGGGAACCUGCCCUUAGGUUCGGAAUAACUCCCCGAAAGGGGUGCUAAUACCGGAUAAUGUCUUCGGACCAAAGAUUUAUCGCCUUUGGAUGGGCCCGCGUUGGAUUAGCUAGUUGGUAGGGUAAAAGCCUACCAAGGCGACGAUCCAUAGCUGGUCUGAGAGGAUGAUCAGCCACACUGGGACUGAGACGCGGCCCAGACUCCUACGGGAGGCAGCAGUGGGGAAUAUUGGAAAAUGGGGGAAAGCCUGAUCCAGCAAUGCCGGGUGAGUGAUGAAGGCCUUAGGGUUGUAAAGCUCUUUUACCCGGGAUGAUAAUGACAGUACCGGGAGAAUAAGCUCCGGCUAACUCCGUG
rnacentral:rRNA from 1 species